rnacentral:rRNA from 1 species
UACAGGGGGGGCAAGCGUUUGUUCGGAAUUACUGGGCGUAAAGGGCCAGUAGGCGGCCAACUAAGUCACACGUGAAAUCCCCAGGCUUAACCUGGGAACUGCGUGUGAUACUGGAUGGCUUGAAUUCGGGAGAGGGAUGCAGAAUUCCAGGUGUAGCGGUGAAAUGCGCAGAUAUCGGGAGGAACACCGGUGGCGAAGGCGGUCACUGGCCUG